GUUGGUGCCGCCACCCUCGCCGCCGUCCGCCGGUACCGCCGCCGCCGCCCGUUGGCCUUCCUUCCUCAGAAAGGCUUUGGGAUUGAAGGUCAAGCAGCUAUGAAGGACAGACAUGGACUAUCCAGGUUAAAGUCAUGAGAUUAUGGGACUCAAUAAAUCUGGUCACAAAUCUGGUCACAGACGAAGUCAUGAGCCUUAGUAUGAUCCUCAUGGACGAGCAGGGAGAUGUACUUCAUGCAACUAUAUGGAAGAACUUGAUUGACAACUACAAAACAAAGAUAAAUGAGAGCUCGGUCUAUAUAUUCAGCAGUUUCAAGAAUCCUAAAGAUAUCGUCCAGUAUGCAGUGACAUGAAAAUUACUUUCAUGUAUAAUACAAAGGUCAAACAUGUUAAAGAAUCAAUUGAACAUAAUAAAAAAAGUAUUUUUACGUGGAAU